rnacentral:lncRNA from 1 species
UUGAUUCUGAAUUUUGGAUAUAUUUUAUAUAUUGAAGUCUAACUUUUUAAAAAUUAAAUGGUUCAUCAUUUGGACUCUCCCACGAUAAGAUAUGAAUCAUUUGUUACAAGCACGUAAAGCUAAAAAUUAUGCGACUAAGAUAAAAGUCGAAUAAUGUAAAGCAAAUGAGAGGCUGAAACAUUUAAGCCCUCGAAGUUUCCAAGUUGAAGUCUUCAAAUGUAUUCAAGUUGAAGUCCCCAAGUUGAAAUCUUCAACCCCGCCGGUCUUCAAGUUGAAGUCUUCAAAUCCGCUAAUCUUCAAGUUGAAAUAUUUAGGCCCUCCAAGUCUUAAAGUUGAAGUCUUCAAAUUCGGUGAUCUUCAAGCUGAAACAUUUAAGCCCUUCGAAUCUUCGAGUUGAAGUCUACAAAGUCCGCCAAAUCUUCAAAGUUUUCCAAGUGUUCAAAUUGAUGUCGUCUUUAAGUUGAAGCUUUAUAACUUUCCAAUCUUAAGGUGGACAUAUAAGUCCCUUUGCACCUUAAGAUGGCCUCUUCGUGGGUUUGUCCUUAAAAGGAACUAUAAUUUUCCAAUCUUAAGGUGGACAUAUGAGUCCCUUUGCACCUUAAGUUGGUGUCUCCGGUAGUCGGGCAAUUUUGAGAGUAAUCUCUCCAAGAAUCGGACCAUUUUGAGAGUAAUCUCUCCAAGAAUCGGGCAAAAAAGAAAGAAAAGAGGGGUUACCAAAGUCCAAAUCAAGAGUAUUAGAAUGGGUACAAAAGUCUAAAUGGAUGAAAUGCUCUUUAGUCGGGCCAUUUUGAGAGUGAUAUCUCCAAGAAUCGGGCUAUUUUGAGAGUAAUCUCUUCAAGAGUCAGGCCAUUUUGAGAGUAAUCUCUCCAAGAAUCAGGCCAUUUGAGAGUAAUCUCUCCAAGAAUCAGGCUAUUUUGAGAGUAAUCUCUCCAAUAAUCAGGUCAUUUUGAGAGUAAUCACUCCAAGAAUUGGGCAAGGAUGAGUACCCAUCUUCUCACACCCUAAGAACGCCUUCUUCGUGCGUGAAUCUCGCUUGAACUGCAAAAAAAAUAACAAAAGAAGAAAAGCACAAGAAAAGAAGAAGAAAUUACCUUCUCGCGUGGCUUGCAAAAAAAACUGUGAAUUGAU